rnacentral:rRNA from 1 species
GACGAACGCUGGCGGCGUGCCUAAUACAUGCAAGUAGAACGCAGUUGCGAACGGGUGAGUAACGCGUAGGUAACUGCCCCAUAGCGGGGGAUAACUAUUGGAAACGAUAGCUAAUACAGCAUACUGUGAGAUGGACCUGCGUUGUAUUAGAUAGUUGGUGAGGUAAAGGCUCACCAAGGCGACGAUACAUAGCCGAGCUGCGAGGGUGAGCGGCCACACUGUGACUGAGACACGUGCAAGACUCCUACGGGAGGCAGCAGUAGGUAAUCUGCAGAAAUGGACGGAAGUCGGACCGAGCAAAGGCGCGUGAGUGAACAGGAUUUACGCAUCGUAAAGCUCUUUUGUUAGAGAAACGGUAACUAACCAGAAAGGGACGGCUAACUACGUGCCAGCAGCCGCGGUAAUAC